GUACGUCGUGAAAACAGGGUCGGCAAUUCCGGGCGCAUCGCAAAGCCAUCCUACAGUCGGAAUUUCAUCUCGCUCUUAAACUUGUGUCGGUUGAACACGAGGGACAGCAACAACGUAUGUCGAAUAGAGUUCUAAUAGUAAACGUGGGUAUGCCGGAUUACGCUAAACUCCAUGAUGGCUUCAAAGCCAGUCCGUGCAGUGUACGAGGAUAUACAUACAGGGUGUCCUCUCUAUAGAGGAGGCAGAGAAGGCAGAGAAUGAGAAUGAGGAUGAGGACGAGCAAGAGACCGGAGAUAGAAGGGUGGCACGACGAAAUUCUAAGAGGGCUGUCGCCACUGGCAUCAACGUAUGUGCAUACAUACAUCGAAUCUCGAAGCUUUUUGUUUUCGUGACGACGAUAUGUGCAGGAGGUACAGGGGCGAAACAUAACCUAACGUAACCUGUGAGACGAUUCGAAGUAGAUCAUAAAAUAUGGAUUUAUGUACAGGGUAUCUAUACAGACUAAUUGUAGGAAUACAAUUGUUCUCUGACGCGAGUUGGUCAACACGAGGAAACUGAUCGAGGUAACAUCUUACUUCGAUAAAAGUCACAGGAAGUCUAUUAAUCACGCGAGCUGCAUUGUGCUAUUCAGCCACUCGCCAUUCACCACUCGAAUAUUAUCGAUACCGCCGAACAGCCAUCCGCAGCUAUUGAAAGAGAGUUUAUCAAUAGAGCGCAGGACACUCCUGCAGCACACACUGGCUAGACCGCUGACGUAGGUUCAUCAUAAUCUUUCAAAGGUACCAGCGCCAAUGGAAUGCAUCUGUAUAUUGUAUUUUAUAUCACUGGAGGAUCAUCUACACCAUCAUGAAAAUUCUGUGGUUCAAAAAAGAGGGAGAAAGUAAAAUUACCGAUUCGAGAAAUUUCAGCGUCGGAAUUAAUGACUAGUAAAACAUUUUUGGAACAUUGAAAAAGGAAUCAUUAUUUCUUGGAUUUGAAGGCAAUUAUUUCCACUACAAUUUUAUGAUCAUUCAAGAGGACCUAGAGAAUAUUUAGAACUCUGUUCAGAAGAUCUCUACCACGUAUACGCCCGGAUCCUGGGGAUCUGCGCGGCUGAGUACUCCUUUCUAGGCCUACUAUAAACAGCGACAAAAGGAUGUGUCGAGUGGGCGACGACUAUUCAAUGCACGAGAAAGGAUUGUCUGACGUUGCUGAGGACUCCCGCAGACCCAUGGCUAUGCUAUAGUUAUUUCUCGUUCUUUCUGGCCGUCUCCUCCUUGAACACCAGAGUCAGGCCAGUGGACUGUUCGCGACUACUGAGAGUAGCGAACGAGAAAGAUGGAGAGCUGAAAUGGCGAGGACGAGUGGGACGAGUACGGGGUAGCAGAGCCGGGAGAAAUGAAGGGAUGAAACAAUGUGCCUUUGUACCUGAAAGAAAUAGAAAAGCCAAAGAGGCAAGAGCGAUUGAAAUACUUGAGACUGACUACGUCAAAUAUGAAGACCAGCAUGUGAUUGAAUGUAAGGAUGAGAGAUCGCAUUCAGAAUUCAUUUGCUGAAUGUGUUACGGGUACGUAUAACGAGGUUGAUUCCGUUAUUCCAGAUGAGUAUUUCCAUAUGGAGAAUAUAUAUAUAUAUAAAGAAUCCGCAAGUGGAAUCGUCAUCGGAGAAAUGAAAACGCGUUCCAGUCGAGCACUCACGAUUCAUCCUUUACAAUUCGGAAAAUACACGAACAAGGACCCAACCGACCACGCUUCUCCACUGUGACCCAGGAUCGACCUGCGGCCAUUCAAUGUCCGCGAAUGGCUUUGGCGCUUUUGGUACCGUCCAUGAGAAACCUCGAACAGGAAGCUGAGAAAGUUCUGUCAAUGCUGGAGAACAAAAGUCGGAAGUGAACGGUACUGGGGACCGGAUAUAAACAUUAGGAGUUGGCGGGUGGUCCUCUGAUUGGGACUCAAGUUGCUCGACAGCCGGACAACGCGUGGUCAGCGGACAAAGCUCUUCUAAUUGUCCCUAUCAACGACGAAGAAUGGACCGUGGGCCUGCUGCUGACAAUUUCAUUUGUAAUUUGCAUAAGGCUUAUUAAAAUCACAAUGGAUGCUCGACCUGGACGGAUCCUUCCUGAUCGGCUUGGGAGCUCAACAAAAGUACCAGGACCGUUUAAACGCUUGCGUCCCUUAUUACGUACCGACUGUCGUACAGGGAACAGUAUCAAAUAGACUUUAACUGCCUUUCAGUGGUCAAACUUUACUACGUUUUCUAUUAUAUAUUAUUGACACAAAGUGAACUUACCUUAA